UGGAAAGUCAGAUGUGAAAUCCCAGAGCUUAAACUCUGGNAACUGCAUCCGAUACUNCCAUGCUAGAGUAUUGGAGGGGUAACUGGAAUUCUCGGUGUAGCAGUGAAAUGCGUGGAUAUCGAGAGGAACACUCGUGGCGAAAGCGAGUUACUGGACAAUUACUGACGCUGAGGCUCGAAGGCCAGGGGAGCAAAANGGAUUAGAUACCCCUGUAGUCCUGGCAGUAAACGGUGCACGCUUGGUUUGAGGGGAAUCGACCCCCUUCGAGCCGGAGCUAACGCGUUAAGCGUGCCGCCUGGGAAGUACGGUCGCAAGACUAAAACUCAAAGAAAUUGACGGGGACCCGCACAAGCGGUGGAGUAUGUGGCUUAAUUCGAUGCAACGCGAAGAACCUUACCUAGGCUUGACAUGCAUUUCUAAAUACGUGAAAGCGUAUGACUCUUCGGAGGACUUGCACAGGUGCUGCAUGGCCGUCGUCAGCUCGUGUCGUGAGAUGUUGGGUUAAGUCCCGCAACGAGCGCAACCCCUGUGAUUAGUUACCAGCGCGUGAUGGCGGGGACUCUAAUCAGACUGCCCAGAUCAACUGGGAGGAAGGUGGGGACGACGUCAGGUCAGUAUGGCCCUUACGCCUAGGGCUGCACACGUACUACAAUGCCCAGCACAAUGAGAACCGAGACCGCGAGGUGGAGGAAAUCUACAAAACUGGGCUCAGUUCGGAUUGGAGGCUGCAACUCGCCUCCAUGAAGCUGGAAUCGCUAGUAAUGGCACAUCAGCUACGGUGCCGUGAAUACGUUCCCGGGUCUUGUACACACCGCCCGUCACAUCAUGGAAGUCGGUCGCACCCGAAGUACACGCGCCAACCGCAAGGAGGCAGUGUCCUAAGGUGUAGCUGGUAACUGGGAUGAAGUCGUAACAAGGUAACCAAGGGCGAA
rnacentral:rRNA from 1 species